UUGUCAUCCUGCUCCUGGGUCUCUACGUGU
rnacentral:piRNA from 1 species